rnacentral:rRNA from 1 species
UUGAACGCUGGCGGCAUGCUUUACACCUGCAAGUCGCACGGCAGCGCGGGCUUCGGCCUGGCGGCGAGUGGCGAACGGGUGAGUAAUGCAUCGGAACGUGCCCAGUAGUGGGGGAUAGUCCGGCGAAAGCCGGAUUAAUACCGCAUACGACCUGAGGGUGAAAGCGGGGGACCGAAAGGCCUCGCGCUAUUGGAGCGGCCGAUGUCGGAUUAGCUAGUUGGUGGGGUAAAGGCUUACCAAGGCGACGAUCCGUAGCUGGUCUGAGAGGACGACCAGCCACACUGGGACUGAGACACGGCCCAGACUCCUACGGGAGGCAGCAGUGUGGAAUUUUGGACAAUGGGGGCAACCCUGAUCCAGCCAUGCCGCGUGCGGGAAGAAGGCCUUCGGGUUGUAAACCGCUUUUGUUCGGGAAGAAAUCCUCUGGGCUAAUACCCCGGGGGGAUGACGGUACCGGAAGAAUAAGCACCGGCUAACUACGUG